rnacentral:rRNA from 1 species
CCUACGGGAGGCAGCAGUGGGGGAUAUUGGACAAUGGGGGAAACCCUGAUCCAGCGACGCCGCGUGAGUGAAGAAGUAUUUCGGUAUGUAAAGCUCUAUCAGCAGGGAAGAAAGAAAUGACGGUACCUGAGUAAGACGCCCCGGCUAACUACGUGCCAGCAGCCGCGGUAAUACGUAGGGGGCAAGCGUUAUCCGGAAUUACUGGGUGUAAAGGGAGCGUAGACGGUAAUGCAAGUCUGGGGUGAAAGGCGGGGUCCCACCCCCCGGACUGCUCUGGAAACUGUGUAACUGGAGUGCAGGGGGGGCAGGCGGAAUUCCGAGUGGAGCGGUGAAAUGAGUAGAUAGUAGGAGGAACACCAGUGGCGAAGGCGGCCUGCUGGACUGUAACUGACGUUGAGGCUCGAAAGCGUGGGGAGCAAACAGGAUUAGAUACCCGGGUAGUC